UAGAUAUGUCUGGGGUGCCAUUUGGCUGAGAAACACCCAUUGAACCUGAUCACGGUAAUGCGUGCGAAGGGAGAUACAUUUUCGAAUAC
rnacentral:ncRNA from 3 species